rnacentral:misc_RNA from 1 species
ACAGCUUCUUUAACAGAUUCAAAAGGUGCCCUUGUAUCAAUAAGACCUCUGUAUAUGCCGCCCUGCUUAACAUCUCCAGGUGAAUUGAGAGAUGAUGGUGUCCUGACAAUAUGACUGGCAAUCUUUGCAUAUGGUGAGGCAGAGGUAGGUUCAUCUGUUUGCACUCUGACCUUUAUGUGGGGAAGAUCAAACUCAUUGGAUUGCGAGCUCACCUUAGGAUAAGAAGCAAUAGGUAUAAUGUCAUCAAUAUGAAUGUGGGAACUGUCAAGAGAAGAAGUAUCUUGAGAUUGCUGCAUGUCACAGGAAUUUUGCAGAGGUUCAGUUUUUUCUUGCAAUUGCAAUCCAUCUGCAGAACUUUGAACAGCUUCAGUUUUCUCUUGGUAAUGUUGUCCAUUAGAGGAUAUUGCAACGGUUUCAAUUUUUUCUUGAGAUUCUCGUCCAUUGGAGAAAUCUUGUGUUGCUUCCGUUUUUGAAUCUUCCUUGACUGUACCUGGAUUGUCUGUCUCUAUUAUAUCAGCUGUUGAAGUAGACACCAGAUUGUCCGUUGGAAGAAGUUGAAUUUGACUGUCAGAUUCUACUUUUCC